AACGAACGCUGGCGGCGUGGAUAAGACAUGCAAGUCGAGCGGAAUAAUCAGGGUAGCAAUAUUCUGGUUGUUCAGCGGCGCAAGGGUGCGUAACACGUGGGUAAUUUGCCAUGAAGUCUGGAAUAACUUGCUGAAAGGCGAGCUAAUGCCGGAUGUGACUUCCGAGGGGCAUCUCUUGGAAUUCAAAGUUGGGGACCGUAAGGCCUGACGCUUCUUGAUAAGCCCGCGGUCUAUCAGCUAGUUGGUGAGGUAACGGCUCACCAAGGCUAAGACGGAUAGCUGGUCUGAGAGGACGACCAACCACACUGGAACUGAGACACGGUCCAGACACCUACGGGUGGCAGCAGUCGAGAAUUUUCACAAUGGGCGAAAGCCUGAUGGAGCGACGCCGCGUGGGGGAUGAAUGGCUUCGGCCCGUAAACCCCUGUCAUUUGCGAACAAACCUGUCCACUUAACACGUGGAGAGCUGAUUGUAGCGGAAGAGGAAGGGACGG
rnacentral:rRNA from 1 species